rnacentral:ribozyme from 11 species
AUGAUAGAAACUUAGAAGAAGAAAAAAGAAGAAAAGAAAAAAG